UUUAACUGAGCGUUCAGUUACUUGACGUAGACCCGAAACCGGGCGACCUACCCAUGAGCAGGAUGAAGCGAAAGUAAAAUUUCGUGGAGGUCCGAACCCACGAGCGUUGAAAAGCUCGGGGAUGACUUGUGGGUAGCGGUGAAAUUCCAAUCGAGCCCGGAGAUAGCUGGUUCUCCCCGAAAUAGCUUUAGGGCUAGCCUCAAGGUGAGAGAUACGGAGGUAGAGCACUGAAUGUCCUAGGGGGUAUUGCACCUACCGAAGACUAUCAAACUCCGAAUGCCGUCAUCUUAUACUUGGGAGUCAGACUGUGGGUGAUAAGAUUCAUAGUCGAAAGGGCAACAGCCCAGAUCGUCAGCUAAGGUCCCUAAAUGUAAGUUAAGUGGUAAAGGAUGUGGGAUUGCACAGACAACCAGGAUGUUGGCUUAGAAGCAGCCACUCAUUCAAAGAGUGCGUAAUAGCUCACUGGUCGAGUGAUCCUGCGCCGAAGAUUUCCGGGGCUAAAACUUACUACCGAAGCUACGGCAUCAGUAAUGAUGGGUAGGGGAGCUUCCCAUACGGGUUGAAGCAUGACCGUAAGGACAUGUGGACAGUAUGGGAGUGAGAAUGUUGGCAUGAGUAGCGAGAUGUGGGUGAGAAUCCCACAGGCCGUAAACCCAAGGUUUCCAGGGGAAGGUUCGUCCGCCCUGGGUUAGUCGGGACCUAAGCUGAGGCCGAAAGGCGUAGGUGAUGGACAACAGGUUGAUAUUCCUGUACUACCGAUAACCGUUUGAGAGAAGGGAUGACACAGUAGGAUAAGCUAAGCACACUGUUGGUUAUGUGUGCCCAAGCAUUGAGGCAGUCAAAGUAGGCAAAUCCGCUUUGAUAAUGCUAGGAUGUGAUGGGGAGCGAAAUUUAGUAGCGAAGUAGCUGAUUUCACACUGUCAAGAAAAGUCUCUAUCGAGGUUAAAGGUACCCGUACCGCAAACCGACACAGGUGGGUGAGGAGAGUAUCCUAAGGCCAGCGAGAGAACUG
rnacentral:rRNA from 1 species